rnacentral:misc_RNA from 1 species
GUGAAUUUUAGGGUGCUCUUCUCCUUCUUAACAAAGGGAAGAGGCCUGACCUCCACUCUCCAACACUGUGCACUUAUUGGCAUUAGGAACUUCUUUACGAAAGUUUAGUUGAUCCUUUUGCGGCUUCAUUUUUAACACUUGUCAAAGAAUGUAAACAAAACCAUAACAAAAAAAAACUUUCAACAACGGAUCUCUUGGCUCUCGCAUCGAUGAAGAACGCAGCGAAAUGUGAUAAGUAAUGUGAAUUGCAGAAUUCAGUGAAUCAUCGAAUCUUUGAACGCACCUUGCGCUCUCUGGUAUUCCGGAGAGCAUGCCUGUUUGAGUGUCAUGAACUCUUCAACCCACCGGUUCCUUGUUGAACCGAUUGGUGUUUGGAUUUUGAGCGCUGCUUUUCAUUAAGCUCGCUCGUAAUACAUUAGCAUCUCAAUUUCGUAAUCGGAUUGACUCAGCGUAAUAGACUAUUCGCUGAGGACACUAGUUUCUAGUGGCCGAGAAUGAAAAGCUAGAAGCUUCUAACCCAUCUAGUCAUUUUUGAU